GCUACAGGCUUAACACAUGCAAGUCGAGGGGCAGCAUGGUCUUAGCUUGCUAAGGCCGAUGGCGACCGGCGCACGGGUGAGUAACGCGUAUCCAACCUGCCUUACACUCUUGGACAGCCUUCUGAAAGGGAGAUUAAUACAAGAUGUUAUCAUGAGUAAGCAUUUUCGCAUGAUUAAAGGUUUACCGGUGUAAGAUGGGGAUGCGUUCCAUUAGAUAGUAGGCGGGGUAACGGCCCACCUAGUCUUCGAUGGAUAGGGGUUCUGAGAGGAAGGUCCCCCACAUUGGAACUGAGACACGGUCCAAACUCCUACGGGAGGCAGCAGUGAGGAAUAUUGGUCAAUGGACGAGAGUCUGAACCAGCCAAGUAGCGUGAAGGAUGAAGGUUCUAUGGAUUGUAAACUUCUUUUAUACGGGAAUAAACGAAUCCACGUGUGGAUUUUUGCAUGUACCGUAUGAAUAAGGAUCGGCUAACUCCGUGCCAGCAGCCGCGGUAAUACGGAGGAUCCGAGCGUUAUCCGGAUUUAUUGGGUUUAAAGGGAGCGUAGAUGGGUUGUUAAGUCAGUUGUGAAAGUUUGCGGCUCAACCGUAAAAUUGCAAUUGAUACUGGCAGUCUUGAGUACAGUUGAGGUAGGCGGAAUUCGUGGUGUAGCGGUGAAAUGCUUAGAUAUCACGAAGAACUCCGAUUGCGAAGGCAGCUUACUAACCUGUAACUGACAUUGAUGCUCGAAAGUGUGGGUAUCAAACAGGAUUAGAUACCCUGGUAGUCCACACGGUAAACGAUGAAUACUCGCUGUAGGCGAUAUACAGUCUGCGGCCAAGCGAAAGCAUUAAGUAUUCCACCUGGGGAGUACGCCGGCAACGGUGAAACUCAAAGGAAUUGACGGGGGCCCGCACAAGCGGAGGAACAUGUGGUUUAAUUCGAUGAUACGCGAGGAACCUUACCCGGGCUUAAAUUGCAACCGAAUAUGGCGGAAACGCUAUAGCUAGCAAUAGCGGUUGUGAAGGUGCUGCAUGGUUGUCGUCAGCUCGUGCCGUGAGGUGUCGGCUUAAGUGCCAUAACGAGCGCAACCCUUGCCGAUAGUUACUAACAGGUCAUGCUGAGGACUCUGUCGGGACUGCCAUCGUAAGAUGUGAGGAAGGUGGGGAUGACGUCAAAUCAGCACGGCCCUUACGUCCGGGGCUACACACGUGUUACAAUGGGGGGUACAGAGGGCUGCUACCACGCAAGUGGAUGCCAAUCCCAAAAACCUCUCUCAGUUCGGAUUGAAGUCUGCAACCCGACUUCAUGAAGCUGGAUUCGCUAGUAAUCGCGCAUCAGCCACGGCGCGGUGAAUACGUUCCCGGGCCUUGUACACACCGCCCGUCAAGCCAUGGGAGCCGGGGGUACCUGAAGUGCGUAACCGCAAGGAGCGCCCUAGGGUAAAACUGGUGACUGGGGCU
rnacentral:rRNA from 1 species